rnacentral:rRNA from 1 species
AUUGAACGCUGGCGGCAGGCCUAACACAUGCAAGUCGAGCGAGCGGCGGACGGGUGAGUAAUGUCUGGGAAACUGCCUGAUGGAGGGGGAUAACUACUGGAAACGGUAGCUAAUAACGCAUACCAUCGGAUGUGCCCAGAUGGGAUUAGCUAGUAGGUGGGGUAACGGCUCACCUAGUCGACGAGCCCUAGCUGGUCUUAGAGGAUGACCAGCCACACUGGAACUGAGACACGGUCCAGACUCCUACGGGAGGCAGCAUUGGGGAAUAUUGCACAAUGGGCGCAAGCCGGAUGCAGCCAUGCCGCGGGUAUGAAGAAGGCCUUCGGGUUUUAAAGUACUUUCAGCGGGGAGGCGUUACCCGCAGAAGAAGCACCGGCUAACUCCGUGCCAGCAGCCGCGGUAAUAC